rnacentral:lncRNA from 1 species
UGAGGGUGAUAGAGCUGCCGUAGGAGAUCAGUAACAAAGCAAAGCCUAUGGCACACAGCAGCACCUGCCCAGAAACACGUCAGAGAGAAGCUGCAACACUACUGGCCUCUUUAUGCUAAGAGCCAAGUUCAGAGUGAGAGACUACCAGUGCAUCAAGCAGUUGUUCCUGAAGUAUUGGUACAUCCCCCAACACUGGCCUACAGGCUUUUGUGACCAGGACUCCAGGGGCCCUGCAUACAGACAGGGGAAGGCUGAGCACUGGUUCUGCUCACAACUCCCACAUUUGACUGCAUGUGAGCCAAACCAUAAAGAAGCCUAAGGUGCUGCACCCACCUCAGUUGUGAUUGGACCAUGCUCUGCGGUAGAUUAGAGCACACCCAAGUGAAUGAGAAGACGUGGGCACUAGCUGGGCUGGAGGGUCCACAGAGAAAAGCCCUAAUAUCUAUUAAUUCAUCCCGAGGGCCCAAGAAUCUAGAAACCAUUGCCUAUGGAAACAAAAAGUUUAUCACUUCCAUCUUGGUGGUGGUGAUGUUCUACAACCCAAAUCGGGGACAAGAGGGGAUUGCAAUGAGGGAAAGCAGAGGCACUGUGCUUGAUCCCGGGCCAAUAUCUCACCUGAAACAAAUGGGCCCUUGGGAGACCUGACGGGCUGA